AGUUCGAUUCGAUUCGAGGCAUCGACGGCUUGAAGUUUGAUUCGAUUCAAAGCUUCAAACCCAGAAAAUCUCGUAUCUAAUCAGAGAUUCAUGGCCUACGGCCGAAGUUCGAUUAGAUUCUAACCCAGAACUCUUCGCCUCUCGACCUCUUCUUUGAAGUUCGUUUCGAUUCAAAUCUUCAAACCCAGAAAUCUCGUAUCAAUUCAUUCGAUUCAUGGCCUACGGCCGUUAAUCACUUAAUCUCAAGUGGAAUCAGUCUCUUUGAAGUGGAAUCUUGAUUUUUUACUUGUAUAUGAACAGGAGGACGAGGACUAAGAAGCAAAGUGACUGCACAACUGAAGG